GACGAACGCUGGCGGCGUGCUUAACACAUGCAAGUCGAACGGAAAGGCCCUGCUUUUGUGGGGUGCUCGAGUGGCGAACGGGUGAGUAACACGUGAGUAACCUGCCCUUGACUUUGGGAUAACUUCAGGAAACUGGGGCUAAUACCGGAUAGGAGCUCCUGCUGCAUGGUGGGGGUUGGAAAGUUUCGGCGGUUGGGGAUGGACUCGCGGGUUAUCAGCUUGAUGGUGGGGUAGUGGCUUACCAAGGCUUUGACGGGUAGCCGGCCUGAGAGGGGGAACGGCCACAAUGGGACUGAGGUACGGCGCAGAAGCCUACGGGAGGCAGCAGUGGGGAAUAUUGCACAAUGGGCGGAAGCCUGAUGCAGCAGCGCCGCGUGCGGGAUGACGGCCUUCGGGUGGUAAACCGCUUUCGCCUGUGACGAAGCGUGAGUGACGGUAAUGGGUAAAGAAGCACCGGCUAACUACGUG
rnacentral:rRNA from 1 species